rnacentral:lncRNA from 1 species
GGAACAUUAAACAAAGGGACAAUUUAUUGGUGUCAAGGAAGCCUCCUUUAAUUAACCGUAAAUAUGACCCCAGUCACUUUCUUUUUUUUUUUUUUUUUUGAGACAGUGUCUCGCUCUGUCGCCCAGGCCAGAGUGCAGUGGCGCGAUCAUGGCUCACUGCAAGCUCCGCCUCCCAGGUUCACGCCGUUCUCCUGCCUCAGCUUCCCGAGUAGCUGGGAAUACAGGCGCGUGCAACCACGCUCGACUAAUUUUUUGUAUUUUUAGUAGAGACGGGGUUUCACCGUGUUAGCCAGGAUGGUCUCAAUCGCCCGACCUCGUGAUCCACCCGCCUUGGCCUCCCAAAGUGCUGGGAUUACAGGCAUGAGCCACUGCGCCGGGCCGACCCCAGUGAUUUUCUUAAGAAAUGCAUUUCCAAAAAAUUUUCGCCUAUACAUAACCUUAUCUAUAUUCUUCUGAGGAAUCUAUCUGUCUUGAGUGGGGAGAGAUUAGAUUAUUCUGAGAGGAAUGGAAAUAGAAAGCAUUAAUAUUCAGCUCUGACAUCUAAAUUUGGAUCUUUGAUUACUUAACAAGAGAACUGCCUUAAAAGUGACACUCAACUGUCUCACCUUAUCACCUAAAUUUCAUCACGGAAAGAAAAGGGUAAGGUGGUUGAAUUCCAAACAUAUCACCUAAAGAGACUGAGUCAUCUAAGAAAGAAUUUACAUCAGCCCUAACAUGGAAUUGAACUUAAAUGAACUGAAUAUUUAAAGUGAAAGGAACUCUUUAAACCUGAAUAAAAUGAGACAUUGUUAAUUGCAAUUUACAAAAUUUAAGUUUCUUGACUAUUUGGUAGAUGGGAUCAUUCAUAAAGAAGAUUAGAUAUAUUAGAGAAAUUUUUUUCUUUGUGUGUCUUUUUAUAUGUAUCUACAUAUUAUGUGAGUUUGUUAUCCUACCAUGUCAAUUUCCUUUUUCUCUGCCUCAUUCAUUCAUCCACCCCACUGAAUUCACACACUGUUUUAAUUAUCUUUGAAAAAAGUAUAAGGCACAGAAAAAUCUACAAAAACAACAGCAAAGAAAUACAAAAAUCAAGAAGAAAAAAAUAAGGGCAGGAACAUAAACCUUGAAUUAGAUUUGGAAUUAAAAUAUAUGCAAUCAGCCUCUAUAGUUGGAGUUAAGCUAACAUUGGCUCUGAACUUAUUAGCAGUCAAUGUAAAGAAGGAAAACAAUCAGUCCUGUGAUAAUUACCUCAUCCAUAUGAUAAAAACAAACUACAAGUGUAGGUACAAAUUAUCCAUGUAGGAAAUCUUAAGAGAAAUUUUUCUUAUAGCAUCUCAUAGAACAUGAGGUAAUAUGUAAACUGUGUCCCCAAUAAAGAAGCUAUAUUAUGUCCAAUGAUGAAUUCUGUAGGACUGUUGUUUAUGAUAUACUUCAUAGAAAACUUAUUGCAUUAUGACAAAGCACAGUUCCACGAAGGAAAGAAAAUGGUAAGGUAUUGGCUCAAUAGGAAUCCUGCAUUGAAACAGCCAAGAUGAAGAUUAUUUUAUAGCUACAGGCACUUUUCUGGAAGAGAACCUCCUGGGAAAUCUAAGGCUAGAUCAAACUGCAUAGUAGGGAAUGGGGAAUAAGGGAGUUGCCAGAAUAUGGCCUUUUUGAGAGGAAAUAGGUAUACACUCCUCUCUCUCUCUCUCUUUUACUGUCACUCUCAUAUAAGUCUAUAAGACUGUAAGAUAUCCAUAUAUAUAUAUAAGAGUUUGCUAUACAUACACACAGACACUAUAUAAAUAUAUUACCCAUGUAGUAAAUCUUAAGAGAUUUUUUCUUAUAGCAUCUCAUAGAAACAAGAGGUAAUAUGUAAACUGUGUCCCCAAUAAAGAAGCUUUCUUCCUUCCUAUAUAUAGCAUGUAUGUGUCGUGUGUGUGUGUGUGUGUGUGUGUUUGUGUGUGUGUAUCUUUGGUAUUGCUUAGGGUAUCUUUACAUGAGCUUUUUUUUAAUCAAAUAAUAUUCUGAAUAUUUCAAUGCUUGUAAUGCUCUCUACAACUGGGUGUCACUUUGUCUGCAUUAUGGUUAAUUAUUUCUGUAUUUUUCUAUAUUGAGGUACCUGACUCUACGUUUCCUAAAUUUUAUUCAGAACUGUGUUAUAGAUAACUUGUGGUUUAUUUAAUAUAUAUUGAACAGUAAAGCCAUGAUCAUCAUAAAACCUUAAACAUUCUCAUGUAUUUAUUUAUAGCUAUCAUAUUUCUUGCCUUGUGACUACUGAAUGCUAAUAAAAUAUAACCCUUUGAUAAAUGUUUUCUAGGACAUUUUAUUCUGCAUUCUUUAGCUAUUUUUGCCAAUGUUUCAUAACUUCAUUUUCCUUCCUUUCCAUUUCUGUCACAUUUAUCUCAGCUUUAAUUCCUUAUCUUUGAAUAUCUAUGUUGCUUUAAGCAAUUUUUCUUUUGCUCUUUCUUUCUCUUUAACUGUUUUCACUAAGUGCUGAUCAUAUACUUAUAUUUUCUGACCUGUCUUACUUCUUCAAUGUGUUCUCAAAUAUUUGUGGAUACCUCAACAAUGAGUAUAUUUUAAUCAAAAUAAUAUCUUUACUUUGGCUCUUAUUGCCUGCCAGCUUUCUUCCUUCCUGUCUUUAUCCCUCCUUGAUUUAAAGAGACAUCCAAAUGAACUAUUAUUCAUAGCAUAUGAGAAUCUAUAUGAAUAAAUAGGACUUUCAUCUACAGCUAAAAUGCUCAAGAUUAUACCUAAAUAGUUGGUAAUUUAGAAUGAUUUUCCUGACUUCAUAUUUGUUGCUUUCAAACUUUUUCUGGAGUUUUAGAUUUAGAGUAUAACAUUGGGUUUGGCAUAGAAAGUUAUAUCAAGCUGUCUCUUUUUUUAUUCUUUAGUUUCAGUCUGCCAAAUAUACAAUUUAACACAUCCCUCAGCUAAAUUUGCCCUUAAAGAGUCCUUAUUUGUCCCUUUAUCUGCUGAACACAUUGAAAUUAUCUUGAACAACUGUCUAUGCUGAAUUUCUGGUCAACAGAGCUUCUAUAUUUUGGUGAAGCAAUUUUAUUCAUUGCUUUUUGCUUGCUAUGUUGAAAUGUAAGUUUGGGCGAUUUAAAAAAUUAUUUUAUUGGAAUUGAUAUGUGAGCUUAUUACUGCUUUCUGAUGGCAAAAAGGAGUUUGAAAUAAAUUAAUAGCAUUGGGG